UUCCUUGGGGUAACAAAUUGAUGCGGGACCAGGAAAUGAAAGUAGAUGCUAUCAGUGUAUUGUUGGUGUUUGUGUGCACACUGUAUGGAUUAACAGAAAGAAAUGUGUUAUGGAGCAGAAUCGACUGGGACCACGUCAUUCGCUAUGUGGUUUACAGAUGUUUGAAGCGUGGAUGCACGAGGCUUCAUGAAAACCUGCUGUGGCGUUUCUUUGACGGUGGAACUCCUGCUGCUCAUCAAUGAAUGCUGUGUGGAUUUGCCAGCCCUUUCUCCACAGCGCUUUGGAGGCAAUCGAGACCAGAAAUGAACUGAAGCCCUGAACAGUCUUUUGAGGUUCAUAAAUUUGGGUGUGGUGCUCCUGGCUCUCUCUCCCUCCUCGUCGGGACACCUGCGGCUUCCUGCUCACCUGAAUCCUAUCCAGCCAACCAGUCUCUGCCAGAUCGCCCAUUCACCCAAGUGAUUCCUGCUUCAGCCCUAGAAGCCCAGUCUGCCUGUCUGAGCCAACUUGUUUUUUGUUGUUGGACCUGCCUCUCACCUGUCUGCCCGCUCUCAGCCCCAGAGGAUUUCAACCACCGUCAUUACUCAUUGUGUUCAAUAAACCACAAUACCUGUUCUGACCUUUU